GAGCUUACAAUUGAUCUGACAGUUACACUGAGCUUCACUCCAGAAUAGAAUCCCUGUUUCCUGCCCCGGGGAGAAUAUUUCCUGCACAUUUCUGUCUCCUUAUGCAAGUUUCUCCCACAUCCAUGGAAAAAACCCUACCUAACUGGCACCAUGAUGACUAUAGCCUAUUCCUACCUGAGGAUACUCCUCGUCUGCCUCAAGGUCUCCAGAAAUGCCGGUAAGAAAGCCAUUCACACCCUGGUCACCCACGUCCUCAAUUUUUCCAUUUUCCUCAUAGGAACCUUGUUUAUAUUUAUCCGGUACAGACUGGAGAACAUUAACCUUCCUCUUGUUUUCCACAUUUUGCUCUCCAUAGCUGGCUUGGUCUUUCCUCCACUCUUGAACCCUCUCAUAUACGGGAUAAGAACAAAAGCACUGAAAGUGAGAGUGAUUUCUCACCUGCAAAAAACGAUUGUAAAGAUAUUGAUUGGCUGAAUGUUCCUUGUCCUCAACCUGAUCCCUUGGGUGGUGGAGACAAUAAAAAAUGUGACCAUG